rnacentral:tRNA from 1 species
UACACAGGUCCUCAAACACA